rnacentral:rRNA from 1 species
GACGAACGCUGGCGGCGUGCUUAACACAUGCAAGUCGAACGGAAAGGCCCUGCUUUUGUGGGGUGCUCGAGUGGCGAACGGGUGAGUAACCCGUGAGUAACCUGCCCUUGACUUUGGGAUAACUUCAGGAAACUGGGGCUAAUACCGGCAAGGAGCUACUGCUGCAUGGUGGGGGUUGGUAAGUUUCGGCGGUUGGGGAUGGACUCGCGGCUUAUCAGCUUGUUGGUGGGGUAGUGGCUUACCAAGGCUUUGCAAGGUAGCCGGCCUGAGAGGGUGACCUGCCACGUUGGGACGGAGAUACGGCACAGACUCCUACGGGAGGCAGCAGUGGAGAAUAGUGCACAAUGGGCGGAAGCCUGAUGCAGCAACGCCGCGUGCGGUAUGACGGCCUUCGGUUUGGAAACCGCUUUCGCCUGUGACGAAGCGUGAGUGACGGUAAUGGGUAAAGAAGCACCGGCUAACUACGUG